GCUGACAGUAAGCCAUCUGUUAAAGAAAGGAAGGAUGCAAGUUGGAGCAGAAGAUCCAGCCAUCUCCAAGCCCAAAUUAAGAGCUUACUUUAUACGAGCUACCGGAACCCCCAAAUGCUUAGCUGGCUUCCUUACCUCCAAACGGCGGAUGAUUUCCCGAAGAGGAAGAGCGGACUCAUUUCCUCCAAUGAAAGUCGUAGUUGGCAAGUGAAAGACUUUGUCCAGGUCGGAUUCAUCUAGGCCAUAAAACCCUGCAGGAUUUUCACAGAUAAUGCAAAGUUAGCUUUCAUUCUAAAACUCUGGACCAAGAUGCUAGUUUCAAAGAAGUUGCACAUCUCUUCAAUCAACAAUAUCAGCUGCUUCAGAGUUAAGAGAAUAAUUCUCACCAAUGUUUGGCGAAUCAGUUACUGUCGAAUCAUCAAAAUUUACACAACUAAUGCCGAGAGGAUCAAGCUUGGCAAUGUGGUGACCCCUGACCUAGAAACAACAACAAAAUUAG